rnacentral:rRNA from 2 species
CAUGCGGCAGCUAUACAUGCAAGUCGAGCGAAUGGAUGGGAGCUUGCUCCCUGAAGUUAGCGGCGGACGGGUGAGUAACACGUGGGCAACCUGCCUAUAAGACUGGGAUAACUUCGGGAAACCGGAGCUAAUACCGGAUACGUUCUUUUCUCGCAUGAGAGAAGAUGGAAAGACGGUUUACGCUGUCACUUAUAGAUGGGCCCGCGGCGCAUUAGCUAGUUGGUGAGGUAAUGGCUCACCAAGGCGACGAUGCGUAGCCGACCUGAGAGGGUGAUCGGCCACACUGGGACUGAGACACGGCCCAGACUCCUACGGGAGGCAGCAGUAGGGAAUCUUCCGCAAUGGACGAAAGUCUGACGGAGCAACGCCGCGUGAACGAUGAAGGCUUUCGGGUCGUAAAGUUCUGUUGUUAGGGAAGAACAAGUACCAGAGUAACUGCUGGUACCUUGACGGUACCUAACCAGAAAGCCACGGCUAACUACGUGCCAGCAGCCGCGGUAAUACGUAGGUGGCAAGCGUUGUCCGGAAUUAUUGGGCGUAAAGCGCGCGCAGGUGGUUCCUUAAGUCUGAUGUGAAAGCCCACGGCUCAACCGUGGAGGGUCAUUGGAA